rnacentral:rRNA from 1 species
AAGUAUAAGCAAUUAUACCGUGAAACUGCGAAUGGCUCAUUAAAUCAGUUAUCGUUUAUUUGAUAGUACCUUACUACUUGGAUAACCGUGGUAAUUCUAGAGCUAAUACAUGCUAAAAACCCCGACUUCGGAAGGGGUGUAUUUAUUAGAUAAAAAACCAAUGCCCUUCGGGGCUCCUUGGUGAUUCAUGAUAACUUCUCGAAUCGCAUGGCCUUGCGCCGGCGAUGGUUCAUUCAAAUUUCUGCCCUAUCAACUUUCGAUGGUAGGAUAGUGGCCUACCAUGGUUUCAACGGGUAACGGGGAAUAA